AACGAACGCUGGCGGCAUGCCUAACACAUGCCAGUCGAACGAGACCUUCGGGUCUAGUGGCGCACGGGUGCGUAACGCGUGGGAACCUGCCCUUAGGUUCGGAAUAACUCCCCGAAAGGGGUGCUAAUACCGGAUAAUGUCUUCGGACCAAAGAUUUAUCGCCUUUGGAUGGGCCCGCGUUGGAUUAGCUAGUUGGUAGGGUAAAAGCCUACCAAGGCGACGAUCCAUAGCUGGUCUGAGAGGAUGAUCAGCCACACUGGGACUGAGACACGGCCCAGACUCCUACGGGAGGCAGCAGUGGGGAAUAUUGGACAAUGGGCGAAAGCCUGAUCCAGCAAUGCCGCGUGAGUGAUGAAGGCCUUAGGGUUGUAAAGCUCUUUUACCCGGGAUGAUAAUGUCAGUACCGGGAGAAUAAGCUCCGGCUAACUCCGU
rnacentral:rRNA from 1 species